UGAACCAGCGGAUUGGUGAAUGGGAGCUU
rnacentral:piRNA from 1 species